rnacentral:rRNA from 1 species
GUAUAGCUAAGCUGUAUGUUUUUUUUACAAAAAACAUAUUCGAUUUACUCGUAUAAAGUUCUAGGUAGAGUUAUGAUAAUGACAUUCUCUAUCUAUAUGUCUUGACAAACAUGCGUGCCAGCAGUCGCGGUAAGACGCUAAAGACUAGUGUUAUUCAUCUUUAAUAGGUUUAAAGGGUACCUAGACGGUAGAUAAAGCCUUAAUUGGGACUAAUCUAACUAGAGUUAAAUGUAAGGGUGCAUUAACGUACUAUUGAGUGGAGAGAUGAAAUUCUAUGAUACCAGAUUACUGGCACGGGUAUAGGCGAAAGCAUCGCUUUAUGUAAUAACUGACGUUGAGGGACGAAGGCUUUGUAUCGCUAAAAGGAUUAGGUACCCAAGUAGUCUAAGCAGAAAAUGAUGAGUGUCAUGGGCUAAAUAUUAUUUAGUCUAUAAAUGAAAGUGUAAGCAUUCCACCUCAAGAGUAAUUUGGCAACAUUGGAAUUGAAAUCAUUAGACCGUAUCUGAAACCAGUAGUGAAGUAUGUUGUUUAAUUAGAUUUUACACAAAGAACCUUACCACAGGUAAUACAUAUGAAUAAUUUACCGGUGUUGCACGGCUGUUUUUAGUUAAUGUCGUGAGAUAGUGGUUCACUCCAAUAAUUAACAUAAACCCUUACUUUAUUUUUUUAUAUAAAGUAGUUCGCCGUUAUAUUGGUGAGAUAAAAGGGAUUAAGACAAG